rnacentral:rRNA from 1 species
CCUACGGGGGGCUGCAGUGGGGAAUAUUGGGCAAUGGGCGCAAGCCUGACCCAGCAACGCCGCGUGAAGGAAGAAGGCUUUCGGGUUGUAAACUUCUUUUCUCAGGGACGAAGCAAGUGACGGUACCUGAGGAAUAAGCCACGGCUAACUACGCGCCAGCAGCCGCGGUAAUACGUAGGUGGCAAGCGUGCUCCGGAUUUACUUGGUGUAAAGGGCGAGUAGGCGGGAAAGCAAGUCAGAUGUGAAAACCAUGGGCUCAACCUGGGGCCUGCAUUUGAAACUGUUUUUCGUGAGUACUGGAGAGGCAGACGGAAUUCCUAGUGGAGCGGGGAAAUGCGUAGAUAGUAGGAGGAACACCAGGGGCGAAGGCGGUUUGCUGGACAGCAACUGACGCUGAGGCGCGAAAGCGUGGGGAGCAAACAGGAUUAGAUACCCCUGUAGUC